ACAGACAGGAGGACAGAGACAGGUCAUCAGAGACAGAGACAGGCCUUUGGGGACAGACAGAGACCGGUCAUCAGAGACAGACACAGGUCAUUAAAGACAGGUCAUCAGAGACAGGUCAUUAGCGACAGGUCAUCAGAGAUAGGUCAUCAGAGACAGACACAGGUCAUCAGAGACAGACACAGGUCAUUAGCGACAGGUCAUCAGAGACAGGUCAUCAGAGACAGAGACAGGUCAUCAGAGACAGAGACAGGUCAAUAGAGACAGGUCAUCAGAGACAGGUCAUCAGAGACAGACACAGGUCAUUAGCGACAGGUCAUCAGAGACAGAGGCAGGUCAUCAGAGAGAGAGACAGGUCAUCAGAGACAGAGACAGGUCAUUAGCGACAGGUCAUCAGAGGCCAGUCAUCAGAGACAGAGACAGGUCAUUAGCGACAGCUCAUCAGAGACAGGUCAUCAGAGACAGAGACAGGUCAUCAGAGACAGAGACAGGUCAUUAGCGACAGGUCAUCAGAGGCAGGUCAUCAGAGACAGAGACAGGUCACUAGCGACAGGUCAUCAGAGACAGAGACAGGUCAUCAGAGACAGAGACAGGUCAUUAGCGACAGGUCAUCAGAGGCAGGUCAUCAGAGACAGAGACAGGUCAUUAGAGACAGGUCAUCAGAGACAGGUCAUUAGAGACAGGUCAUCAGAGACAGGUAAUCAGAGACAGGUCAUUAGAGACAGGUCAUCAGAGACAGAGACAGGUCAAUAGAGACAGGUCAUUCGAGACAGAGACAGGUCAAUAGAGACAGGUCAACAGAGACAGAGACAGGUCAAUAGAGACAGGUCAUCAGAGACAGAGACAGGUCAUUAGCGACAGGUCAUCAGAGGCAGGUCAUCAGAGACAGGUCAUCAGAGGCAGGCCCAUCAGAAACAGAGACAGGUCAUCAGAGACAGGUCAUCAGAGACAGAGACAGGUCAUCAGAGACAGAGACAGGUUAUUAGCGACAGGUCAUCAGAGGCAGGUCAUCAGAGACAGCGACAGGUCAUCAGAGGCAGGUCAUCAGAGACAGAGACAGGUCAUCAGAGGCAGGUCAUCAGAGACAGAGACAGGUCAUCAGAGAUAGGUCAUCAGAGACAGGUAAUCAGAGACAUAGACAGGUCAUCAGAGACGGAGACAGGUCUUUGGGGGACAGACAGAGACAGGUUUUUGGGGACAGACAG